rnacentral:rRNA from 1 species
CGGGAGCUGUACAGGUGCUGCAUGGCUGUCGUCAGCUCGUGUCGUGAGAUGUUCGGUUAAGUCCCGCAACGAGCGCAACCCUACGUUUAGUUGCUAACGCGUGAAGGCGAGCACUCUAGACGAACUGCCGUUGACAAAACGGAGGAAGGUGGGGAUGACGUCAAAUCAUCAUGCCCCUUAUGUUCUGGGCUACACACGUGCUACAAUGGCCGGUACAGACGGACGCAAAGCCGCGAGGCGGAGCAAAUCCGAAAAAGCCGGUCUCAGUUCGGAUUGCAGGCUGCAAUUCGCCUGCAUGAAGUCGGAAUCGCUAGUAAUCGCAGGUCAGCAUACUGCGGUGAAUACGUUCCCGGGCCUU